CCUACGGGAGGCAGCAGUGGGGAAUAUUGGACAAUGGGCGAAAGCCUGAUCCAGCAAUGCCGCGUGAGUGAUGAAGGCCUUCGGGUCGUAAAGCUCUUUUACCAGGGAUGAUAAUGACAGUACCUGGAGAAUAAGCUCCGGCUAACUCCGUGCCAGCAGCCGCGGUAAUACGGAGGGAGCUAGCGUUGUUCGGAAUUACUGGGCGUAAAGAGUACGUAGGCGGUUAUUCAAGUCAGAGGUGAAAGCCCGGGGCUCAACCCCGGAACUGCCUUUGAAACUAGAUAACUAGAGUCUUGGAGAGGUUAGUGGAAUUCCGAGUGUAGAGGUGAAAUUCGUAGAUAUUCGGAAGAACACCAGUGGCGAAGGCGACUAACUGGACAAGUACUGACGCUGAGGUACGAAAGCGUGGGGAGCAAACAGGAUUAGAUACCCUGGUAGUCCACGCCGUAAACGAUGAUAACUAGUUGUUCGGUCACUUGGUGACUGAGUGACGCAGCUAACGCAUUAAGUUAUCCGCCUGGGGAUACGGUCGCAAGAUUAAAACUUAAAGGAAUUGACGG
rnacentral:rRNA from 1 species